UUUUGGUUUUCCGGGGGGGGGCCCCCUGGACCCCAAAAGGGUAGGGGGGCGAGCCCCAAAAUUUCGCCUCCUUUUUGGGGGGGAUUUUUUGGGCGGGGGAAAAGCGGGGGGAAAGGGGGUGAAAAAUACCCCCCGGAGAGGACAUAUCCUUUUGUUGGUGGGGGGGGCAAUAACCCAUUUGGGGAAAACCUGUUUGUCUAUUAAUCCCCCCUUAUAUAUAUUUUGAGGGAGAGCAAAAAGGAGGCGGCCCUUUCGGGCCCUUCUCUCCGGGAUAAAAGAUUCGCCCCAAAGUGUGGAUAUAAAGUUAUGAAGGGGGGGGCCACCCGCUCUCUCCGUGGGGGCCCCCCCUCCCCUUGGGGGGUGUUGAGGAGGGGCCCCCUCCGCCACCUUGGGAACUUGAGCCCCCGGUCACAGAUUUCUUGGGGGGGCGCCAGCGGGGGGGGAAUUUUUCCCCCGAGGGGGGGAAACCCUUGGAACGCCCCCAUGCCGGGGGUGUGAAAAGAAGCCCUUCGUGGGUUAAAAACCCUUUUUCCCCCAGGGGGGGAGGGCGGUUUUUGUUAAAAGGCGGUUUUUGUUUGACUUUUAGCUGCAAAAAAAAGCCCCGGGAAAAUUCCGUGCCCAGCAGCCGCGGUAAUACGGAAGGGUGCGAGCGUUAAUCGGAAUUACUGGGCGUAAAGCGCAUGCAGGCGGCUUGUUAAGCCAGAUGUGAAAGCCCGGGGCUCAACCUCGGAAUCGCAUUUGGAACUGGCAGGCUAGAGUCUUGUAGAGGGGGGUAGAAUUUCAGGUGUAGCGGUGAAAUGCGUAGAGAUCUGAAGGAAUACCGGUGGCGAAGGCGGCCCCCUGGACAAAGACUGACGCUCAGAUGCGAAAGCGUGGGGAGCAAACAGGAUUAGAUACCCUGGUAGUCCACGCCGUAAACGAUGUCUACUUGGAGGUUGGUGUCUUGAACACUGGCUUUCGGAGCUAACGCGUUAAGUAGACCGCCUGGGGAGUACGGUCGCAAGAUUAAAACUCAAAUGAAUUGACGGGGGCCCGCACAAGCGGUGGAGCAUGUGGUUUAAUUCGAUGCAACGCGAAGAACCUUACCUACUCUUGACAUCCAGAGAAUCUAGCAGAGAUGCUUGAGUGCCUUCGGGAACUGUGAGACAGGUGCUGCAUGGCUGUCGUCAGCUCGUGUUGUGAAAUGUUGGGUUAAGUCCCGCAACGAGCGCAACCCUUAUCCUUGUUUGCCAGCACUUCGGGUGGGAACUCCAGGGAGACUGCCGGUGAUAAACCGGAGGAAGGUGGGGACGACGUCAAGUCAUCAUGGCCCUUACGAGUAGGGCUACACACGUGCUACAAUGGCAUAUACAGAGGGCAGCAAGACCGCGAGGUGGAGCGAAUCCCACAAAGUAUGUCGUAGUCCGGAUUGGAGUCUGCAACUCGACUCCAUGAAGUCGGAAUCGCUAGUAAUCGUGGAUCAGAAUGCCACGGUGAAUACGUUCCCGGGCCUUGUACACACCGCCCGUCACACCAUGGGAGUGGGCUGCACCAGAAGUAGAUAGCUUAACCUUCGGGAGGGCGUUUACCACGGUGUGUUCAUGACUGGGGGAAGUCGAACAAGUAGCCUACGUCCCC
rnacentral:rRNA from 1 species